UACGUAGGUGGCAAGCGUUGUUCGGAAUUAUUGGGCGUAAAGGGCGCGUAGGCGGUUUGUUAAGUCGGCUGUGAAAGCCCGGGGCUCAACCCCGGAGGGUCAGCCGAUACUGGCAGGCUAGAGUACAGAAGAGGUAACUGGAAUUCCCGGUGUAGCGGUGAAAUGCGUAGAUAUCGGAAGGAACAUCAGUGGCGAAGGCGACUUUCUGGACAGAUACUGACACUGAGACACGAAAGCGUGGGGAGCAAACAGG
rnacentral:rRNA from 1 species